ACGGGUGAGUAAUGUAUAGCUAACCUGCCCUUUAGUAGGGGACAACAGAUGGAAACGUCUGCUAAUACCCCAUACUCCAGCCUAUCAUAAGGUAGGUUGGGAAAGAUUUAUUGCUAAAGGAUGGGGCUUUAUGGUAUCAGCUAGUUGGUGGGGUAACGGCCUACCAAGGCAAUGACGCCUACCUGGUCUGAGAGGAUGAUCAGGCACACUGGAACUGAGACACGGUCCAGACUCCUACGGGAGGCAGCAGUGGGGAAUAUUGCACAAUGGAGGAAACUCUGAUGCAGCAACGCCGCGUGGAGGAUGACGCAUUUCGGUGUGUAAACUCCUUUUAUAAGGGAAGAUAAUGACGGUACCUUAUGAAUAAGCACCGGCUAACUCCGUGCCAGCAGCCGCGGUAAUACGGAGGGUGCAAGCGUUACUCGGAAUCACUGGGCGUAAAGGAUGCGUAGGCUGGAAAUCAAGUCGAGAGUGAAAUCCAACGGCUCAACCGUUGAACUGCUCUCGGAACUGAUUACCUAGAAUAUGGGAGAGGUAGAUGGAAUUGGUGGUGUAGGGGUAAAAUCCGUAGA
rnacentral:rRNA from 1 species